UACGGGGGGAGCAAGCGUUGUUCGGAUUUACUGGGCGUAAAGGGCGCGUAGGCGGUCAGCACAAGUCAAUUGUGAAAUCUCCGAGCUUAACUCGGAAAGGUCAACUGAAACUGUGCGACUAGAGUGCGGAAGGGGCAACUGGAAUUCUUGGUGUAGCGGUGAAAUGCGUAGAUAUCGGAAGGAACGCCGGUGGCGAAAGCGACGUGCUGGACCUCUUCUGACGCUGAGGCGCGAAAGCUAGGGGAGCGAACGGG
rnacentral:rRNA from 1 species